rnacentral:rRNA from 1 species
UGGGGAAUAUUGCACAAUGGAGGGAACUCUGAUGCAGCGACGCCGCGUGAACGAAGAAGGCUUUCGAGUCGUAAAGUUCUUUUAUAUGGGAAGAUAAUGACGGUACCAUAAGAAAAAGCCCCGGCUAACUACGUGCCAGCAGCCGCGGUAAUACGUAGGGGGCUAGCGUUGUCCGGAAUCACUGGGCGUAAAGGGUUCGCAGGCGGAAAUGCAAGUCAGGUGUAAAAGGCAGUAGCUUAACUACUGUAAGCAUUUGAAACUGCAUAUCUUGAGAAAAGUAGAAGUAAGUGGAAUUUUUAGUGUAGCGGUGAAAUGCGUAGAUAUUAAAAAGAAUACCGAUGGCGAAGGCGACUUACUGGGCUCAUUCUGACGCUGAGGAACGAAAGCGUGGGUAGCAAACAGG